AUUUUGCUCCUCCCACUGCAGUUUGAAGAUCUGAACAUUGUUGCCGAAUGUCUCUUUUCUCUGAUCAAUGGUGAUGACAUGUUUGCGACUUUUGCUCAAAUCCAGCAGAAGAGCAUCUUGAUGUGGCUGUUCAGUCGCCUGUAUUUAUAUUCCUUCAUCACUCUUUUUAUAUAUAUGAUUCUUAGCCUUUUCAUUGCACUUAUUACAGAUUCUUACGACACCAUUAAAAAAUACCAACAGAGUGGAUUUCCUGAAACAGAUCUUCAGGAAUUCCUGAAGGAAUGCAGCAGCAAAGAGAAGUAUCAGAAAUAGUCCCUGGCCUUCCUGUCCUGCGCCUGCUGCCUGAGGCUGGAAACCUAAGAAUGGAAGAAAAUGGAGGAAGGCUGUGACUGGAGACUAAAUAUUGGAGAAACAUCUCACUGAGGGAACCCAGGGAGCAAGGUCAUCACACAUUUGGUGGCUGGGCACCUCCCGAGUGCCCAUGAUGGACAACCCCAGUGAGCACAGCUCCACCUCCUGCAGGCAACAGGCUCGCUUUUUUCAGCUGACCAGUCUGGCAACCACCACAGACUAAUUCUCCUUUGAAUUGUUCUCAGAACCUCAAGCCUGAUCAUCAGAACAUGUGGUCUUUCAUUUUGGACUCUGCCAGUUAUCAAAUGUGUCCCAUGACCUAAACCUCUUGGUUCCUCCAGUGUCAUCAGGGUGGAACAGAUGACCUCUGACACCUCUUCCAAUUCUAAUGUGACACAGUUCUUUGGAAAGGUAUGCUAGGUUGAACAUAUGCAGAGUUAACUUUUCUCCUUCUUAUGGCAGUGAAGGAGGAAAAUCUGCUGUUCUAGCCUUUGAGAAGGCUUUGACAAAGAAGGGAAAUAGAAGGUCCCAAGAGGUGGACAAUUCCUCAAAAUUGCCAGAGUGUCUACUCAAAAAAAAAAAUACUGUAAAUUGUCCUUCUUAUGUUUUCUUCUCUUAUCUUUUGCCCUCAGAAUGUCUAUAAUCAAUGCAUGCCUAGAAUACAGAGUAUUCCUAUGCCACCUCAAAUACUUAAAAAUCAUUGUUCUCUUUUCCAUUUCCUCCUGCCCGAUUCUGUUACAGGAAAGGAAGUGAUGACCACUUGAUAUUUGUUAACUACAAUUCUUUUGCUAAAGGUAAUCAAAUUUUAGGCCUCCUUAUCCAGUGA